AAGAGCAGCGCCGAGUCGAUCAGGGUCACCUGCUGGAAGGAGUCACUGGCCUUGCUGAUGUGCGCACUGGAGAGAGAACAGACAAGGGCACAGCGGUCACACGCAAUCACACUGGCACGGACCUGCAGCAGGACACGUCCGACACAGCACAUCAUCAUGCAGCACCCACUGCAACCCCAGACAGCCAGUUCCUCUGUCUUAGUACCUUGUUUUCCUCCUACUGCAAACAGAGUGGCACUCUUCAGGAGAGGCAUCUCUGCCUAAUGCCCCUUACGAACACAAUCCACCGAGAUGUCUAUUAUUAGGAAGGCGGUGACCUAAUUAGGCUAGUUUAUAGGCAGCGGAACAGGACAGGACAAAGAUAAGGAGAAUCCACUCAGCCCUGCAGUUCAAAUGAGAGGUAUAUUAGUCUGCAGGUCAUAGAGAAGGGUACUGAUCAGAAUUACCCCAUAUUAAUUGGAUAAACAUAGAAAGCAGAUUGCAAUCCUAAUUGCAAAUGUUUCUGUCCAGGCCUUAACCAUCUUAAUUACUGUUGGAGGGUUAGGUCUCAUCGACCUGAGUGGCGCUAAUCAGAAUUAAUUAGCGGAGCAGGACAGCCACAUAAAUCACAGUAUAUGGCGCUGAGACUCGCCAGCAGAGCUGAGGAGGAAAAGUGGGUGAAGUUCUUCCAAAGUUUCGGCUGUUUCUUCUCCUAAACUUUGUUUUUGAGAAGAGUCAGCGCUGUCGGGUGUUGGGGAGACUCGCGUCAGAGGCCUGCAUUACGGUUCCUCUUCUAAGCAUCUCGGUGAGGAGCGAGAACGAGGAGAUAUUUAACACCAGGCUGAACAUCACUAGUUCAUCCUCUAUUUCUGCUCUCCCUAGGACUGCAUGGGCCCAGAAGCGCUGGAUUAGAUCAGGACCAGCAGCCGUUCAUGGGAAGACAGCACCCCCACACCGCUCUGCUGCACUCACCAACCCUGCUCAUUUUUCUGCGAGAUUGCCAACGUUGGGAGAAAUAAGUGCUUCCACAGGAGGAAAUGAUGUGGAAAACCCCCCCAGUGAUGAGCACAGUUAUGGCCGCAGAGACGGCUUAUUGGAUUGGCCAAAAUAGGAUCACGUGAUUAAGAAUCUCCCAGCACCACAAGCCAGGGGUGUGAGUAAAAGGAAGGAGAAUUAAAGGCUGUGCCAACAUGUCAGUGAGGCUCUGGGAGUCCUCAGUGAUCCAGGAAUUUACGGGAACUCAGGUUUCCACACCAAUAGGUCCAAUAAGCAUGAACUGCUCAGGGUAACCUAAGUGCAUCUGUUAGGGUCUCCAGCAGGAACCCGGCCCAUAAUCAACCCCGUGCUAUAAUCUCCAACACAAGGCCUUCGCAGUUCGACCUGCAUGUCUGCAGUCCCCAUAAACACCAUAUGAGC